UUUUUUUUCUUAUUUUUUCACAUGUCUACUAAUUCUUGAUUGUAUGUAGCAUACAUUAUGGUGUACUGGAUAUAAUGGAGACUUUGGUUUUUUGGAGUUUUUUUCCAAAGAGCACUGAGUUUUCUUCUUUAAGGCAAAUAAAUCAUCUUGGUCUUAAACUUUGUUAGGAGGGAUUUUGUUCAGAUUUUAAAAGACUUAAUGAAUACCUUGCUCUUAAGGUGUGACUGACCCUUCUCUGGUUAGAAAGGAAAACCAUGAGGUGUAUACCAAGACCACUCCCCCCAACCUGGCAGGACUCAAACUCUAAACACUUCUUUAUUGUAAGGGAGGAAGGUAAAAUCUCUGCUCAUAUUUUUCAGUGUUCCAUGUAUUGCUUUAAACUGAGUUCCUGGGGAUUCCUCCACCCUGCAACACACACAGUUCUGGGAUCAGCCAAAGAUUUAAAGUGAGUUUAUAGGUAGAUUCUAAAGCUCCCCUCUGAGACUCCCUCCAUUCUGGAUCUACCUACACACCAUUUCAUUUCUAGCCAUCAUGGCAACCCUGAGCUCCUCUCUCUCUGAUACUUUAUGAGUUUUAAUCAUCCUGUACCAAAAAGACUGCUCUCAUUAGUGAAGUCUUGAAUACAUGGAUGUCACCCAGUGAGUGACAUCUCCUCAAACUUGUCUUCUUUCGACUGCUCUCUGGCAUCUUCAAACAGGCAUUUCCCCCCCCCCCCAGAGUUUAUACAUAGUUUUUCCUUCAAGUUUUACUAAGUUAUAACUGACAUAUAACACUGUAUAAGAUAUAUAGCAUCAUGAUUUGAUUUACACACAUCAUGAAGGGAUUAUCACAAUAUAUUUAGCAAAUAUCCAUCAUUUCAUAUAGAUACAGAAACAAAAUUAAAGAAAUAGAGAAAAAACCUUUCUAUGCCAAGAAUUCUUAGGAUUUAUUCUCUUAGCAACUUUCUUAUAUAACAUACAGCAGUGUUAAUUAUACUUAUCAUGUUGUACAUUACAUCCCUAUUACUCACUUGUUUUAUAACAUGAAGUCUGUACCUCUUGACUGCCUUCAUCCAAUUUCCCCUUUUAAAUUUGUAAUUUAUUAUAAAGGUCUUCAGGCUUGCUUGGAGAAACCUUUAUAAUGAAAACCAGAUCCUUCCAAAGGCUCUAAUCUGCAACUUUAAAAAAACAUAUGACCAAGCUCCAUCCCCAUGGUUUUCUAUCAGUAGGUGGGGAUAAGACCUUGGCACUAUAUUACUUUUUAAAGUACCAUACAUAUUGCCAAUGCUGUUAUCUCCAGAGCAAAGGGUCACAAAUGUAGACUAAUGUGUACAUUAGUUAGUAACCCAAGCUAAAAAACAAACAAAAAAGAAAAAAUUAUAAACCUGACUCCACGGAGUAACCCUAAUAUCAGCUCCUUGAGAAGCAUCUAUUCAUUAAGACGGCACAUAUUCUAACUUAAUUCUCAGCAAUCUUCUGUCCUUCACCAUGCACAUCAAGUUUACGGUACUCUCCCAAGCAGGAUAUCUUGCUGCCUUUGACAGUCUUACACAUAGUACUAGGUCUUAUAAUUAUGAGGCUCUCUUACAUUUAGGAAAAGUAAUGGAAUAUUACGGAACAUACAGUAAGCUAGGAAGUUUUUAUCUUCAAAAUGUUACUGCUUUUGUUACCUCAAUACCAAUAACUUCAAGGAAUUCUAAAUCUCUAUUCUAUAGCGAGCCCAAAAAUACACCAAUAAAUGACAUAACCCGGAGCUAAAUAGGAAUGCCCCACUGAUAUAUAUUCUCAAUUUACCAAAUUUCGAAGUUAAUCAAGAGACUUUUCUGUUCCACUAGAAAUCCUUCCCACAAUUCCUUCACUUAACUCAGUAGUUACAAUACAGCAAUACCAACAGCAUGAAUGCAAUGUAUGUAUAGAUUUCAUUUAUUCAACAAUUUUUAAACUACUACAUACCAAGGAGUAGUAGACUCUGGGUAUAUAGUGGUGAUUAAGAAACAUGAUUUUGCAUUCUUGAUAGAGAGGCAAUGACUGAAUAAACAAUUACAAAGUGUGAUUAAGUGUAUACAACUAAGCAACAAGUGGGAAAAGGGAGUGGAAUGAUACAUGGACAAGUGGAAGGCUUUAUUUCGUGGCCACACCUUCAAGCUGAGACCUAAAGAAAAAUGCAAAAAGAGCCAAAAUGUAAGGAGAAGAGCAGUAACAUUCCAAAAAUAAUGAAUCAAAUGCAGAAACCCAGAAUCUUUCGGACCUCAUCAUCUUUUAAAAUCUAAAUCUUGAGAUCAUAGUGGUUCAAUUACAGUGGGAAAGGGCGACUGCAAUGAGGUUGAAAAUAGCCAGAUCAUGUAGAGCUCUCCAGCCUUUGUGAAAAAAUGCAUUUUUUUUCCACUCUAAGUGCCACUGGAAAUCCACCUAAGAUUAUAAGCAGGUGAACAACAAGAGCCUAUGUAAGUUUUUAAAAACUGAAAGGGGACCAUAAAGAAAAGAAGUCAGUAAAGCAACUAUAGCAACAAUCCAGGUGACAGAUGGCAGUGGCUUAAGCGAGGGUAACAGCACUAGGCACAAAAAAUAGCUAGAUUAGAGAAAUACUUUGUAAAUAGAAAAAAAGAGGAUGUUGAUGGACUGGUUGUAGUAGAUGGGGGAAAUUAAAUUAGAUGAGAGGAAUUAAAGAUGACACGUAGGUGUUUGGCUUGAGGAAAUAGGUUGAUAUUUACCGAAUUUGUUGCAAUAUGAGAAAAAAAAGGAGAGUAUUUCUAGAACUGCACUGUCCAGUACAGACAGUAGCUACUACUCACACAUAGCUAUUUACAUUUAAAUUUUAUUAAAAUUUAGCUUAUCAAUCACAUUAUCAGUGGGUUAAUCCACAUUCCAAGUGCUCAACAGCCAGGUGUAGCUGGUGCACAUCAGACUGCACAGAUGUAGAACAUUUCCAAAAUCACAGAAAGUUAGUUCUACUGGACAAUGCUGUUCCAGAAGAAGUUUAAAAAAAAAAAAAAAAUGCACCAAAUGCUGAGUGGUCCAGCAAGACUAAAAGCACUUCUUUGACUGGUUAGCAUGGGGAUGCAAUAGUGAGCUCAGCAAGAACAUGUAUACUGAAGCAAUGAAAGCGGAACAUAAACUGAAAUAGAAGAUGAAAAAUGGAGACAUGUCCAUAGGAUAUCUCCUUCACUCUGUGAAAGAGAACAGAAAAAUUAAAGGGAAUAAAGAGCUGGAAUAAAAACAAAGGUUGUGCGAUUCCAGAAUAUUCAUCCAUGCAGCAAAACUUUACUGGCACCUAUAACUUCCAAAUACUGUUCUGGGUACAGGCAUACAAAAUCAGGACAAGACUGUGAUGGGGGAAAAAACAAGUAAACAAAUGUUUCUUCAGAGUAUGAUUAAGUGCCACAAACUAAAUAAAAGAGCAGAAUAUGAUAAAGUGAAAAUGGGUAGUGACAAGGAAGAACUCAAUCUGACAUGAGCCAUAAAUGACAGGAAGGAACCACCUCUGCAAAAGUCUGAAGUACAUAUAUAUAUAUUUGGUCUUUUUAGGGCCGCACCUGGAGCAUAUGGAAAUUCCCAGGCUAGGGGUCGAAUCAGAGCUGCAGCUGCCAGCCACAGCCAUAUGCGAUUUGAGCUAUGUCUGCAACCUACAGCACAGCUCACAGCAACGCCAUAUCCUUAAUCCUCUAAUGAGGCCAGGGAUCAAACUCAUAUCCUCAAGGAUACUAGUCAGGUCUUCUCAACCCACUGAGCCAUGAUGGGAACUCCAGGUCUGGAAUAUAUUUGUAUGCUAGUGGGAAUGAUCCAAAAUAAAGUUUAAAAGUCUUUCAGUUAACACGUAUUUACUGAUCAACUAGUAUGUACUACAAUUCUAGGCACUGGGAAGAACGCAGUAAGAAAACUUAUUAAAUUACUGUCUAAUAACACCUAUUUUCCUAGACCUUACGUUCUAGGAGGCUAAGAAAAAGGGGGAAAAGGAUAAAAUAUCUAUUAUGUUAGCUAAUGAUGAGGGCUAAGAAAAACAUAAAGCAAGAAUGGAGACUGGAAGUUGGAGAAGAACUGCACUCUUAUUGAGUUUGCAGAGCCUACUGUUUCUACUCUGUGCCUAGUGCUACUACCCUAACCAUCACCUGUCACCUGGAUGAUUGCUGUAGGUGUUUUACUGGUCUCCUCUUUCUUCUUGCCCCCUUUCAGUUUUAUUUCCAUGACAAGUGAAAGGAGGAAAGUAGUAGGUGAUAGAAUAGUCCCAACACAGGAGUUUCAGCUUUUACAGAAUGAGAUAAGUCCUUGGAGGUUUUUGAAAAGUUACAGAUCUAUUACUUCAAAAGAAUUAUUUGGCUACUCUGUUGAGAAUACAGUUAAGGAGAACAAGGAUGUAUGCAGGCAGACCAGUUAGAAGGCCUUUGCAGAAAUCCAGGCAAAAGAUUAAGAUGGGAUGACUAUAAAAUGCCAUGGUAAGAAAUGCCUAGAAUUUGGAUGUAUUUUAGGAAAGCAGACACAAUUUUCAAACAGGACUUGAUAUGGAGUGAGAGAAAGACAGUCAAGAAUAGCAAAGUUUUAAGUUUGAGUAAUAUUUUCAGCCAUUUCAACACAGGAGUCACAGAAAAAGCAAAGGAGACUAAGAAGGAACCACAAUGAAGGAGGAAGAAAAUCUGCUAGUAGAUGUGGUGGCCCAGAAGCCAAAUUAAACUUCGUCAAACAACUGUGCCAAAUGCUACCAAGAGGUUACGUGAGAUGAAGUCUGGAGAUUUAUAACAUGGAGGUCACCGGUAGGGGUUCAAAAGAAAAGGGGAGAGAGUGUACCCAAGCAAUUGUUUCAAGGUGUUUUGUUCAAAAGAGACGCAGACUGGGAAACAUGAAGAUUUUUUGUGUAAAUGAGAAAAAUAGUAUCUUGUUUGUAUGCUCAUGGGAAGAGUCAGUAGAGAAGGAAAAACCAGUGGUGCAGGAGAAAGGAGACUGACAGAAUAAUAUUCUUGAGAGCAAGAGGGAAUGGGAUCUAGUUUACAAAUGAGCUGGCUGUUCUUAUCUCUGAACACAACAGUUUAUCCAAAUGACAAAGGUGGAGAUAAAGGACAAAGUCACUGAUGUCGGAACAUUCCGGAAUUCUUAGUUAUUCAAUAUGCUUUAUGAAAUAGAAAUGGGGGUGUGAGAGUGGCGGAAGAGGUGUUAGGAGAUUUGAGAAGAGAAGAAUGAAGGAACUUUUUUUUUUUUUUUUUUUUUUUUGCCUUUUCUAGGGCCACACCCGUGGCGUAUGGAGGUUUCCAGGCUAGGGGUCUCAUCGGAGUUGUAGUUGCUGGCCAAAACUACAACCACAGCGACCACGUGUGCGACCUACACCACAGCCCAUGGCAACGCGGGAUCCUUAACCCACUGAGUGAGGCCAGUGAUCGAACCCACAACCUCAUGGUUCCUAGUUGGAUUCGUUAACCACUGAGCCACAACAGGAACUCCAGGAACUUCUUUACACCAAGAACCACCAGGCAUGAAGCCAGACAAGGGACAAGGUUGUUGAGAGUGUAUAUAAGAAAGUGAUAUGAUUCAACAUGAAAUUUCAGUUGGGUAGAAGUGAGAGUGAGGGACACUGAAAAGCUUAUAUGGAUAAACAAUGUGCAAGUUUCAGUGGGGCUGAAGAGCUGCUGAAACUCAAAUACAGGGUGGCUGAAUCACACUGAAAAAUAAGCUCACUUGGAGAAGAAAUCAAGGAACUAAGAGGUCAGAAUAUGGGAAGCAUCCUCUACAUCAGUAUUACUCAAAGGAACAGACCAAGACACCCUAAGGAGCUUGUGCCAGAUUAUAUCAAUCAACACAUUGAUUCCUUCAUCAAAAGUUUUGCUAUAAAAAAAGUCAGCUGAAUUCAACAGUGAACUUAAUGACAUAAGUGAUAUACAUUUGGGCACAAACUCCUUACUGCAAUUCAUACUGGUUCACAGAUCAGGUGACAUUUCAGAGUAUCACUGCUCUAAUGGCACUGAUAUCACUAAGAACCAAGAAUUACAACAGAAAUAAAGACGACAGUGAGUCAGAACUAACAGCAUUCAAGGAAAGAGGGGAAUGACCCAGGAAAGUUGGCAGAUGACUGAAAUAAAGAGGGGUCCUGGGUGUAUAAUUUGACAGAAUGAGUGUCAAAGUUUUGGAAAAGAAUGGUCAAGAAAUGACAAUGAGAUAUAAGGAAGACACUCUACCUCUUGGUUCAGCAAUAAAAGAUGUGCAAAAGGAAACAUUUACCACUUGAGAGAGCUCCCAGGUCAGCAGCACUAUCAGGGGAGAGGCUAGGAUUCAGCUGGAGCAAGAAAGAGAAGGAAAUAUUCCCGGACAGACUGACAAUAAAAAGGAUUUGCUAAGGACUAUGAGUUCCAGAAGGCACAUGAAUAGAUUCAGGAAAUUAUAAAAUGUAGGAGAUGAAGACAAAAAAAGCCAAUGGGAUUAGAGUCUGGAGGUAUAAGGGCUAAUGCACACAGAAGAGCGAGGCAAAAAUAAAGAACAAAGCCCUUGAAAAGGCAUUUGUUAGGCCUGGCCUCUGACUAGACUAUAAUGCUCCCUCCAAUAUAACAAUGGACCCUCCAUGCAGAUUGAUGAUAAGGAGGUGAAGGAGGGGACAGGACUAGUUUGAGGAGCAAAGAGAAGGCUGACAGUCUUCCUGUCUUAGGGCUUUCUAGAGAAACGUAAUAUGAUCCGGGGUAUAAUGGUAAUAAGGAGAAACCUGAGGCCCUUUAGCAUAUAGUCAGGGCAUUCUUCAAACAUGAUUCAAGAAUGUUAAAAAAAAAAAAAAAA
rnacentral:lncRNA from 1 species